GCUGGGUGUGGUGGCACAUGCCUGUAAUCCCAGUAACUGGGAAAGCUGAGGCAGGAAGAUUGCAAGUUCAAGGCCCUCAACAACUUAUCAAGUCCCAGUCUCAA
rnacentral:sRNA from 1 species